rnacentral:rRNA from 1 species
UAGAGUUUGAUCCUGGCUCAGAACGAACGCUGGCGGCGUGGAUGAGGCAUGCAAGUCGAACGAACUUUGCCGAGUAGCAAUAUUUGGCAGAGAGAGUGGCGUAAGGGUGAGUAAUACGUAGGUAAUCUGCCUCCUAGAUGGGCACAACCUGGCGAAAGCCGGGCUAAUUCCCAAUGUGGCAGUCGCGCGCAUGCGCGACAAUCUGAAGCCGGGGACCGCAAGGCCUGGCGCUAGGAGAUGAGCCUGCGUCCUAUCAGCUUGUUGGUGAGGUAACGGCUCACCAAGGCUUACGGGUAGCUGGUCUGAGAGGACGAUCAGCCACACUGGGACUGAGACACUGCCCAGACUCCUACGGGAGGCUGCAGUCGAGAAUCUUUCGCAAUGGGGGAAACCCUGACGAAGCGACGCCGCGUGCAGGAUGAAAGCCUUCGGGUCGUAAACUGCUGUCUUUCGGGAGCAAGGAACACGGGUGAACAAUCCGUGAACUUGAUAGUACCGGAGGAGGAAGCCACGGCUAACUCUGUGCCAGCAGCCGCGGUAAUACAGAGGUGGCAAGCGUUGUUCGGAUUUACUGGGCGUAAAGGGUGCGUAGGCGGUUCUGUGUGUCGGGUGUGAAAUCCCACGGAUUAUCCGUGGAACGGCAUUCGAAACUACAGGGCUAGAGUGCGGGAGAGGAAGGUGGAAUUCUCGGUGUAGCGGUGAAAUGCGUUGAUAUCGAGAGGAACGCCGGUGGUGAAGACGACCUUCUGGAACGCAACUGACGCUGAGGCACGAAAGCUAGGGGAGCAAACAGGAUUAGAUACCCUGGUAGUCCUAGCCGUAAACGGUGUGCACUUGAUGUAGGAGGAAUUAUCCCCUUCUGUGUCGAAGCUAACGCGAUAAGUGCACCGCCUGGGGAGUACGGUCGCAGAUUAAAACUCAAAGGAAUUGACGGGGGUCGCACAAGCGGUGGGAGCAUGUGGCUUAUUCGAUGCACGCGAGACCUUACCUGGGCUGACAUGUGACUGGAUGCUGGUCGAAAGAUCGGAGGCCUUCGAGGCUGUCACACAG